rnacentral:lncRNA from 1 species
ACAAUGACAUUCUUUUGACUCUAAAGUAGAGAACCAUGACAUGCUUUGGGACUAUGUUGGUAGUGCCAUGAUAGUGAAAAGAUUCUAAUGCCAGGUGUAAAUUAGCAUUACUCUUGCAUGCUUACUAAACUAGUGGAUUCUAGUUGUUGUUAAUAUUUGUUAUAUUGAAAUUCCGAUCGAGGAUCGAGACUGAGAAUAUUGCAAAUGAAAAUAUGAUAAUUGAGACAUGUGGACAGUGGAAUAUGCUUGCUUGCCAUCGUGCUCAUUCGCACACGCUUGUGAGGGUCGCUCCCUACAAGCCGGCACUCCGGAGUUGGCCUACGCGACAGUUGCUCGCCCGUGCGGGAUUGGGUGCCGAAGUGGAUUGUCGUGGGGAGUGUAUACUACCACGGGGCCAUUAGGUGCGGCACAAGCCGGACUAUCUUGAGUAGAUCCCUAUGAAUGAAAGAAAAGUGCUAAAGGAAAUGGAACAGUAAUGAAUGAUUACCAGUUACAGUGUACAGUAGUUACUUACAUAUUUAUGCUUAUGUUCAUACUUAUAGUAGUUGUUAUGCUUCUAUUAUUCAGUUGAUUCAUUACUGUUGAGACUAUGAUUACAUGUGCUUACAUGCUCAUUACUUGUUAGCAUUGCAUAAGUAUAUAAAUCAUGCAAUUACUACUUUUGCUUCAUUCAGUACAUCAUGAGCCUAGUGGUGUAAUUCGCCGAGGCUGGCGGCUGACCCACUGGAAACUAUUGUUUAUAGUUCUCACGCCCUUUUGGUGGUUGUUUUUUUUACAGAGCCGUCUACAGGAGAGGCUAGGGAUCGUGGCAAGGGAGUCACGUCUAGCUAGACAUUGCUAGAAGCAUGCUAGUCGAUCACCUUGCUACUCGGGCUACGGCCGAGGGUGAUGUCCCUAUGUAUAGAGAGACCACCAUUGUAUCUAUUCUUUUGUAUACCUCGUGAUGUAUAUGUACUUUGUGGACAGUCACUACGGUUUUGAUACUUUCUCUUUUAGUCGAGAUUUUGGAUUGUACACUCUUUGUUCUUUUGCCGAUAGUAUAUCGACUUGUACUUUGCUCUGAUAUCAUGAUAGGAUUUUUACUAUGUUUCUUCCUAUCGACUUGUUUCUUGUAGACGCCUUAUAUACUGCAGGUGUAUGGCGGGUCUGUACCAUACCGGAUAUGCUUCCGCUGGUAUCCGGGCAUGACAAUUGUUUGGAUUACAUGCUCACAAGCAGCGUCAUAAUGCAAUCUGCGCGUAAGUUGUUGGACAGAUUGACUAAAUCUGCCACUUUAUUCCAAUACAUGGCGGUAUAUUGGUCGGGGGACGAGAGAAACUCGCACAAGUGUAUCUUGAUGAAAUUGUGCGCGCUUACGGUCAGCUACCUGCUUCUUUGUUUCAAAUCAAGGACACCGAUUCGUUUACAUUUCUCGGAGAAGUUUACAGCGAGCCAUGGGUACCGUUUGAUUUUAGUACUGCUUUUCACUCCAGAGUGAUGGGCAGUCUGAGCUAACCAUCCAGACCCUUGAGGAUUAUGUUGAGGGCCUGCUUGUGAUUGAUUACCAGAAGAGUGGCCACGAGUUCCUACGUGGCCGAUUUGCUUAUACAGUACGUUAUCAGCAAGCAUUCAGAUGCACCUUUUGAAGACCCACUAUGGUAGAAAGUGCAGAUGCACAUCAUUGCGAGCGAAGGGGAGAAAGCAUUAGUUUUGGGUCAGAUAUACUGCCCAAAAGCUGAAGCUAAAGUUCGAUGGCCGAAACGUUUCUGACCGCUCAAAAGUCGACAAAGGAGCUAUGCGGAUAAACGGUCGGCGAGGAACUGGAAUUUCAAGUUCGGUGAUAUAUUAUUCCUGAAAUUUCACCGAUCAAGGGGGUUAAGGAUUUGGUGUUCCGAGAGUUGAGUCUCGAUUUAUUGGACCCUAGGAGUAUUUGGACACGGAAUAAGCGUCCCGUAGGUAUCGGCCUUGCGCUUGCCACCGAACCCUAUCUGGCGAAGCGCAAUAUUGUAUUCAUGUCAUCUACACUACGGAAGUUCAUGUUUUUUAUCCGACCCACCAUAUUCUAGAAGCUACUCAAAUAGAUUUACAAGAAGCAUUUGAGCUUUGAAGCAGAUGCAGUGAGGAUACUAGCGUCGAGAAGUGUUGAAACGGCUUUCGAAAAUCGCGCACGAUACCAUACGCUGACGAUACUUUUGGAGCAAUCACGAUGAACGGGAAGCCCACUUUGGGCACUGGAAAGUGCGAUGCACAGCACUACCCCUAUCUGUUUCAUCGACAGAUCUUGAGGUAAUGAUUACAGGUUUUCGCGGACGGAAACUUCUUUUUUAGGAGGAGCUGAAUUGAUACACACGAACUUUGCAAAUUGCAGAAUUCGAGUGUGUGGACGCAAGGGGAACUAUCCUACAUAUUCUAAAGGCUUGGACAAAGUUUUUGGACAAUGUAUAGAGGGUGAUUGGAAAGCCUAAAAAUAAGAAAGUGCAUUGAUCCUGUGCGAAAUCAGUGUUUUCUGCUUGCUGUUUACCGGGACAGGCCAUUUACUAUGACCGUACAGACUGCCAGAAACAGGCAGUAAGGGUCUUUUGGUCAUUUCCGAUCUUGAUCCUAUUAUUUGACCCAGGCACGACUCUUGGGCAGCUACGUAAAGGUUGCUGGAGGCUCAGGGAAGUGUUCUUCACCUUUGCUCUCUCUCUCUACUUAAGGUUUUCUCUCUUUACAAAGAACUUCGACGAUUUCGCUCAGUUUAGUCUGCCUCACUUUGAUCUUCUGCUGGCGGGUGUCACAGAGACUCACGGUGGACGGUGUCGGAGGAGUUUUUGGAGAGCCUUCGCGCCAGCUCUGAAACCAGUGAGGGCCAGGUUGGAAGCUUGGAUAUAAACGACUUGAUUUUCUCAUUAUCAACGUUCUAUUAGUCGAUUAUGGUGUUGCUUUUGAGAGUUUUUGCUAUCCAAUGACUUAAAUGAGAUUUAGUUUUAAAGAUGAAGCUAAUUAGAUGUGAGACUAAACCUUCUUAGACCAGGGGGUAAGCUACUGUUUAAGCUUAAUUGUGAAUAUAUUAGCCAUUUAUGAAGCUAAAUCGGCAAGGAAAUGCAAUUUGUGUGAGAUUGGGGCAUUCAUUUCUUUCGAGCAGGUCUUUGAAGCUUUGUUGAGCUGAACUUUACUUUUAGGAAGCUGGUUGGAAGCUGCUCUAACCAACGGGUAAGCAGGAAUUUUUCUGUUAGAAUUCAAUUUCGCCCAGAAUUGAACCAUUAUAAGCUUCAGUAUACAAGAUUUUGACGCCGUUUUCAGUAUUGUCGCAGCGAGAGGAUAUUUGACCUUUGGCGCCGCCUUCGGUUUGCGCAUUGGAGGCCUUCUGGAGCUGAACCGUGACGGUAAUAAACUGAAGCCAAAAACAGGGAAUUAUGCUUCCCUUGGACACGGUAUGGACAUUAUGAAUUUACAGUUAUGCCAUUUGGAUUAACAAAUGCCCCAGCAGCCUUUAUGGAUUUAAUGAACCAUGUCUUUAAGCCUUAUCUGGACAGGUUUGUGGUCGUGUUCAUCGACGAUAUUUUGAUAUAUUCUCGAAGUGAUGAGGAGCAUGAAAACCAUCUAAAAGUAGUGUUACAAGUACUUCGAGAAAAGAAACUAUUUGCAAAAUUAAAGAAAUGUGAAUUUUGGCUUCGAGAAGUAGCAUUUCUGGGUCAUGUCAUUUCAGAGGCUGGGAUAGCUGUGGAUCCAAAGAAGAUUGAAGCGAUUAAAGACUGGCCUAGGCCGACCAGUGUCACAGAAAUUCGGAGUUUCCUUGGUUUGGCAGGAUACUACCGAAGAUUUGUGGAAGGAUUUGCGAAGAUGUCUACUCCUCUUACUCGACUGACGCAUAAAGGAGCUAAGUUUCUGUGGAACGAAACCUGUGAAAGAAGCUUUCAAGAGCUUAAGGAACGGUUGACUACCGCCCCGAUUCUAGCACUGCCUGUUACUGGAAUGGAUUAUGUGAUUUACAGUGAUGCGUCGCUGAACGGAUUAGGAUGCGUUCUUAUGCAGAGUGGCCGAGUAAUUGCUUACACAUCUCGUCAAUUAAAGGAUUAUGAAAAGAACUACCCUACACAUGAUCUAGAGCUGGCAGCAGUUGUUUUUGCCUUGAAACUCUGGCGUCAUUACCUCUAUGGUGAACGUUGCGAAGUUUACACGGAUCAUAAAAGCUUAAAGUAUCUAUUUACUCAGAAAGAAUUAAACUUGAGAUAACGUAGAUGGUUGGAGUUGCUCAAGGAUUAUGAUUCGACCAUCCUCUAUCAUCCAGGAAAAGCUAAUGUCGUAGCAGAUGCUUUAAGUCGAAAAUCGACGAAAAAUUUGGCGAUGGCGAUAACUAUGCAACCACUGUUGGUAAAGUCAAUGGAGCAGUUGAAAUUGAAAGUUGUAGCUCCUAACACGCCUCGGAGACUUAUGUCACUAGUGGUGCAACCUACCCUGAUCGAUCGAAUUAAAGAAAAGCAAGCUCAAGAUGAGUCCCUGCAAAAGAUUCGAGCAAAGAUCAGUGUUGAUCCAAUUGGCGAUUUUCGAGUGGAUGAUCAGGGAUUGCUAAAAUUCGGUGAUAGAAUUUGUGUGCCUGCCGAUCCAGAUACUAAAGAGGAGAUUUUAAAGGAAGCACAUCGGGCACCGUAUACUUUACACCCUGGGAGUACAAAAAUGUAUAAAGAUCUGAAGUUAACUUACUGGUGGCCUGGAAUGAAAAAGAAAGUUCCUGAUUUUGUGGCCAGAUGCUUAACCUGUCAGCAGGUUAAGGCUGAACCUCGACUUCCUGCGGGAAAACUUCAAAGCUUACCCAUACCAGUGUGGAAGUGGGAGAGGAUUACUAUGGAUUGUCAUUGGUGGAUCGUAUUCGGCUCACAAGCGCGGUAUGACCGCAUGCUAAUCUGGUAGGAAUUGUGGAUCAGAUUGGACCUAAAGUUGCCCACUUGGUGGAUUCGAAUACAUCGGUUUGGUCGGGGGGGAGCUCGCACAGGUGUUAUCUUGAUGAAGGUUGUCGAUUACAUCGGAGUACCUGUUCUAUGUUUCAUCAGAACCCGAUAUUAAUCUUCUGGAGAGUUUCAGGGGAGGGCGACUGGGUACCCGUUGAUUUUGAGUACUGCUUUUCACCCCAGAGUGAUGGGCACGUCUGAGCGUACCCUCCAGACCUUGAGGAUAUGUUGGGGCUGUGUGACUUGUUACAGAGCAGUUGGCCACAGUUGCGUACAAUGGCUGAAUUGUGCUUAUAACAAUAGUUAUCAGUAAGCAUUCAUGGCCUUUUGAAGCCUUUAUGGUUAGAAAAGUGAGAUACAUUCAUUGGGCGAAGGUGGGAGACGAUUAGUUUUUGGGUCCAGAUAUACUGAAGAGAGCUGAGUAAAGUUCGAGCUGGCACGGAAGAAGGUUUACUGACGCUCCAAAGUCGAACAAGAGCUAUGGGAUAAACGCUCGGCAGAUGGAAUUUCAAGUUGUGAUAUGUAUUCUAAGUUUCGACGUCAAAAGGGUUAAGAGAUUUGGUUUUCGGAGGGAGUUGGAGUCUCGAUUUAUCGAUGCCCUACGGGUAAUGGAGGAUAGUCGUAGCGUAUUCGGCUUGCUUUUGGCCGAAGCCUUAUCGGGGUUACAUAAUGUUUUCUGUAUUGACUACGGAGCAGUUGUUUUUGAUGCGACCCACAUGUUUGAAUGUACUCCAAUGAUUACAGAAGAUUUGGCGUUGAGGAGGCUCAGUGAGAUACUAGUCGAGAAGUGAAAGGUUUCGAAGAUCGCGGAUGAUACCAUACGUCAAGAUAUUUUUGAGCAAUGCACGAGUGACGGGGAAGCCACUUGGGAACUGGAAAGUGCGAUGCAAGAGCACUACCCCUAUCUUUUCUCGACAGAAUCUUGAGGUAAGUGAUUACAAGUUUCGCGGACGAAACUUCUUUUUAGGAGGGGUGAAUGUAACACACUGAACUUUUGCAAAUUGCAGAAUUCGAGUGUGUGGAACGCAAUGUGGAACUAUCCUACAUAUUCUAAAAGGCUUGGACAAGUUUUUGGACAAGUUAGAGGGUGAUUGGAAAGCUAAAAAUAAGAAAGUGCAUUGAUCUGGCGAAAUCAGUGUUUUCUGCUUGCUGUACCGGUACAGCCAUUACCUUGUACCGGUACAGACUGGCAGAAACAUGGCAGUAAGGGUCUUUUGGUCAUUUCACAUCUUGAUCCCUAUCUAUUUGACCCAGCACGACUCUGGGAGCUCAGUAAAGGUUGCUGGAGCUCAGGAGAGUGUUCUUCCACCUUCCUCUCUCUCUCUCUCUAAGGUUUUUCUCUCUCUACAAAGAAUUCGACGAUUUCGCUCGUUUUAGUCGCCUCACUUGAUCUUCGCUGGUUGCGGGUGUCACAGAGCUCACGUGGACGUGUGAGAGAGUAUUUUGGAGAGCCUUUCGCAGCUCUGAACCAGUGAGGUGCAGGUUGGAAGCUUGAGAAGAUAAACGACUUGAUUUUCUCCAUUAUCAACGUUCUAUUAGUCGAUUAUGUGUUGCUUUUGAAGUUUUUGCUUCCAACUGACUUAAACUGAGAUUUCAGCUUUUAAAGAUGAGCUAAUUAGAUGUGAACUAACCUUCUUAGACCAGGGAUAAGCUACUUUAAAGCUUAAUUGGAAUAAUUAGCCAUUUAUGAAGCUAAAUCGGAACGAAAUGCAAUUGUUUGAGCACUUGGGGAUUAUUUCUUCGCAGCAGGUCUUUGAGCUUUGUUGAGCUGAACUUAUACUCUUAGAAGCUGGUUUGGAAGCUGCUCUAACCAAGGGUAAGCAGGAAUUUUCGUUAGAAAUUCAAUUUCGCAAGAAUUGAACCAUAUAAGCUCAUAUACAAGCAUUUUGACGCCGUUUCGGUAUUGUUCGCAGCGAGAGGAUAUUUGACCUUUGGGCCGCCUUCGUUUGGCAUUGGAGGGCCUUCUGGAAGCUGAACGUGAGGUAAUAAACUGAGCCAAAACAGGGAAUUAAGCUUCCCCUUCGUAUUAAUUGAGAAUUUGCUGAAAUUGGAUUCUUAUGUAAUCACUUCGAUUUGCAGCAGGGCUGAGGCCUAGUGGAGCUGAAUUACGGACUUUUGGGGACUGAUUGGAGCCUAGUACUAGGUGGGUUUGACCUAACCAGAGCAAGUGAAGCUCCCCUAUAUUCUAUAUGUACCAUAGAGUUGGUAUAGUUAUGCGUGAUUGUGAGUAAUGUGAUUGGUAAAGUACGCGCAUCAUGUGGCCAUAAUGUUGAUCUAAUUGAAAUAGAAUCUCUAUAAAGUAGAGAAUCUUCAUGCACAAAAGUAUUCGUACUCCUGUCAGUUUAGUUGAGUAAUUAUGAGACAAGUUAUUAUGCUCAGGUAAAGUAGAGAACCAUGACAUUCUCUUUUUGCUUGCUUGAGUACAAAGUAGAAAACAAUGACAUUCUUUUGACCCUAAAGUAGAGAACCAUGACAUGCUUUGGGACUAUGUUGGUAGUGCCAUGAUAGUGAAAAGAUUCUAAUGCCAGGUGUAAAUUAGCAUUACUCUUGCAUGCUUACUAAACUAGUGGAUUCUAGUUGUUGUUAAUAUUUGUUAUAUUGAAAUUCCGAUCGAGGAUCGAGACUGAGAAUAUUGCAAAUGAAAAUAUGAUAAUUGAGACAUGUGGACAGUGGAAUAUGCUUGCUUGCCAUCGUGCUCAUUCGCACACGCUUGUGAGGGUCGCUCCCUACAAGCCGGCACUCCGGAGUUGGCCUACGCGACAGUUGCUCGCCCGUGCGGGAUUGGGUGCCGAAGUGGAUUGCCGUGGGGAGUGUAUACUACCACGGGGCCAUUAGGCGCGGCGCAAGCUGGACUACCUUGAGUAGAUCCCUGUGAAUGAAAGGAAAGUGCUAAAGGAAAUUGGACAGUAAUGAAUGAUUACCAGUUACAGUGUAUAGUAGUUACUUACACAUUUAUGCUUAUGUUCAUGCUUAUCAUAGUUGCUAUGCUUCUAUUAUUCAGUUGAUUCAUUACUGUUGAGACUAUGAUUACAUGUUGCUUACAUGCUCAUUACCUGUUAGCAUUGCAUAAUUAUAUAUCAUGCAAUUACUGCUUUCGCUUUCAUUUAGUACAUCAUGAGCCUAGUGGUGUAAUUCGCCGAGGCUGGCGGCUUACCCACUGGGAACUAUUGUUUAUAGUUCUCACGCCCUUUUGGUGGUUGUUUUUUUUACAGAGCCGUCUACAGGAGAGGCUAGGGAUCGUGGCAAGGGAGUCACGUCUAGCUAGACAUUGCUAGGAGCAUGCUAGUCGAUCACCUUGCUACUCGGGCUACGGCCGAGGGUGAUGUCCCUAUGUAUAGAGAGACCACCAUUGUACCUAUUCUUUUGUAUACCUCGUGAUGUAUAUGUACUUUGUGGACAGUCAC